ACAGCGGGAACAGACAGGCAG
rnacentral:miRNA from 1 species